UUCGGAUUGUAGGCUGCAACUCGCCUACAUGAAGCUGGAAUCGCUAGUAAUCGCGGAUCAGCAUGCCGCGGUGAAUACGUUCCCGGGCCUUGUACACACCGCCCGUCACACCACGAGAGUUUGUAACACCCGAAGUCGGUGGGGUAACCUUUUUGGAGCCAGCCGCCUAAGGUGGGACAGAUGAUUGGGGUGAAGUCGUAACAAGGUAGCCGUAUCGGAAGGUGCGGUUGGAUCACCUCAUAA
rnacentral:rRNA from 1 species